rnacentral:lncRNA from 1 species
AAAUUUUGUUAUGUUAAUUCACUUAAUCUAAUUCAGUACUUAAAUGGUAUACAAAUUAAAUGAAACUUUGCAUUAUUGAUCUACAUUAUGUUAUAGACUCUGAAAGGUGGAGAUGUAAAAAUGUGACAUAAAAUUGAGCCAAAUAAAGAGUGUCACACUUUAAUUUCAAAACAGUAUCCCGUUUUAGUUAGGAAUUGAUAAAUCUCGAACACAUGCAUGGCCUCCGAAAAAGAAAACUUGAAUUCAAAUGUAAACUUGAACACAUGCAUCA